rnacentral:rRNA from 1 species
CCUACGGGGGGCAGCAGUGGGGAAUAUUGCACAAUGGGGGGAACCCUGAUGCAGCGACGCCGCGUGAGUGAAGAAGUAUUUCGGUAUGUAAAGCUCUAUCAGCAGGGAAGAAGAUGACGGUACCUGACUAAGAAGCCCCGGCUAACUACGUGCCAGCAGCCGCGGUAAUACGUAGGGGGCAAGCGUUAUCCGGAUUUACUGGGUGUAAAGGGAGCGUAGACGGCAGGGCAAGUCUGGAGUGAAGGGCGGGGGCCCAACCCCCGGACUGCUCUGGAAACUGUAUGGCUGGAGUGCAGGAGAGGUAA